rnacentral:rRNA from 1 species
UACGUAGGGUGCAAGCGUUGUCCGGAAUUAUUGGGCGUAAAGAGCUCGUAGGCGGUUUGUCGCGUCUGCUGUGAAAACUCAGGGCUUAACUCUGAGCUUGCAGUGGGUACGGGCAGACUAGAGUGCGGUAGGGGAGACUGGAAUUCCUGGUGUAGCGGUGAAAUGCGCAGAUAUCAGGAGGAACACCGGUGGCGAAGGCGGGUCUCUGGGCCGACAUUGACGCUGGAGGAGCGAAAAGCGUGGGGAGCGAACAGG